UUCAGAGCGAGAGAGAGAGAGAGAGAGAGAGAGAGAGAGAGAGAGAGAGAGAGAGAGAGAACUCACUGGGGCAAUUACUAAUGCUUGCGUUUUUCAAGUUGCAUGCAGUAGGAAGCUGAAGCAGCUUAGUCUCUUGGACGCCCAAAUUCUUGAUCUGCUCGCUACCAUUGUGAGUCUGCU